AAAGUGCCGAUGACUGAACUCAGCCAGCAGCCAUUUUGGAGACAGACACUCAUACAGAAGUACAAGGGACAGUGAAAUCUAACAGAGAGGCUUCCGUGACCAAGACCAAAAACAGGACGAAAACAUCGUUGCAUUUCUGCGUAUGACCUAUAAAACCCAUGGUUGUGUGAAUGAUGUGCAGUUACUGUGGCACUAAUCUCACCUCCUAAUAGACCUGCUGCUGACCAUCCUGUACGACUAGAGGUUUCCAGACUUCAGAUUUGUGUAGGAUGGCAUUUGUUUCUGUACAACUCAAUAUCACUUCCCCCAAAAUCAGUUCCACAAAUACAAUUUGUUUUCCGUCACCCGUAGUCUCCCCUCGGCGUGGCCGCGUAGGACCUGGCAUGCUGGAUCACUCAGCUGCAGACCUAACAUACUGUUUCAAUAAGGCCAAUCAUUUCUCGAAGCGAAGUCAACGUUUUACUGUUUAAUGGCUUCCCUCUCUUUCCUGGUUCCGAUGGUGCGGUCCAAGUCCCCCAGUGACAGCGUCUCUCUAUUGAGUGCUGCGUUGGGACAUUUCUUCCCAGGCCUGACUAAUGGUUUCUCAAUGUGCUGUUGGGACCUCAUCAGAAAUACCUAACAAGCGGCGCUGUAAUCCAGAAAGGAUCGCAAGUCCACUCCAUCGCUCAAAAUGUGACUGUAAUCGGCCGUAAUCACAUUUCAGUUCGAACGAGAUCAAAACAAAUUUCUGAUAAAUCUCAAAUGUUAAACAUUAUCAUCAAUCCACCGAUAAGUAAAAAAGCCCUGAGUCAUUCCAACGCUCAUUCCAACAUCAUCUUAUGUAAAAUAUUCAUGUUUUAUACUUAAGGGUAUUUCAUUUCAAUGUGACUUACAAUAAGUGGAAGUGGAAUUACAUUAAGUGAUGAAUAUUUACUUUACUUUACUUUAUUUAUCAGAUGCUUUUAUCCAAAGCGACUUACAAGAGGAAGACACCAGCAAUUCUCGUUCGAUUUUGAUCAAAUUUGAAUAUGAGAAGACUGACUGCUUUGAAUAUGAGAGGCUUUAUUUGGGUGAAAUCCUGACUUUUAUUAAAGUGAUUCUAUCCGUGCCUCGAGCAGCGAGUAAUGCAACGUCCGCCAGGCCACUUGGCUCCAGGACCGUCCCCGAGACCCAGCUGGACCUCCUGACAACUCUAGGAAGGAACAAAUCUAACUGCAGAGCUGGACUCUUGGACCUUGGACAUUGUGGGCUGCCAUCUUGGUCAGGUCAUGUGGCAGAGCGCUGA
rnacentral:lncRNA from 1 species